rnacentral:snRNA from 1 species
GUGCUCACUUUGGCAGCACAUAUCCUAAAACAAUACAAAACAGAAGAUUAGGAUGGCCCUUGCACAAGGAUGACACGCAAAUUCAUGAAGCGUUCCAUGUUUUU